rnacentral:rRNA from 1 species
GCNGGCGGCGUGCCUAAUACAUGCAAGUCGAGCGAACAGAUAAGGANCUUGCUCCUUUUGACNUUAGCGGCGGACGGGUGAGUAACACGUGGGUAACCUACCUAUAAGACUGGGAUAACUUCGGGAAACCGGAGCUAAUACCGGAUAACAUUUGGAACCGCAUGGUUCUAAAGUGAAAGAUGGUUUUGCUAUCACUUAUAGAUGGACCCGCGCCGUAUUAGCUAGUUGGUAAGGUAACGGCUUACCANGGCGACGAUACGUAGCCGACCUGAGAGGGUGAUCGGCCACACUGGAACUGAGACACGGUCCAGACUNCUACGGGAGGCAGCAGUAGGGAAUCUUCCGCAAUGGGCGAAANUUNUANCNNGNNGNCGCCANGAGUGAUGAAGGGUUUCGGCUCGUAAAACUCUGUUAUUAGGGAAGAACAAACGUGUAAGUAAC